CCUACGGGAGGCAGCAGUGAGGAAUAUUGGUCAAUGGACGAGAGUCUGAACCAGCCAAGUAGCGUGAGGGAUGACUGCCCUAUGGGUUGUAAACUUCUUUUGUCUGGGAAUAAAAUGCUGCACGUGUGCGGUUUUGUGUGUACCCUAUGAAUAAGGAUCGGCUAACUCCGUGCCAGCAGCCGCGGUAAUACGGAGGGUCCGAGCGUUAUCCGGAUUUAUUGGGUUUAAAGGGUGCGUAGGUGGGUGGUGAAGUCAGGGGUUAAAGUUGGCGGCUCAAACUUAUACGUGCGGUGGAACCUGGCAGUCUUGAGUAGGGUAGAGGUGGGCGGAAUGCGUGGUGUAGCGGUGAAAUGCUUAGAUAUCACGAAGAACUCCGAUUGCGAAGGCAGGGUACCGGAGUGAAACUGACACUGAGGCACGAAAGCGUGGGUAUCGAACAGGAUUAGAUACCCGUGUAGUC
rnacentral:rRNA from 1 species